rnacentral:SRP_RNA from 1 species
CUGUGCUAUGUGGGGAGCUAGCGGUGCCCUGUAACUCGCAAUCCGCUACAGCGAGGCAGACGGCUUACCGAGGCUAUUUUUAUGGGAGGCUGACUUCAGCAAGGCGUGUUGAUAAUAGGGUCUUGUGCAACAUUGCACUGUGAACCAUGUCAGGGCCUGACCGCAGCAGCAUUAAGCGGACCGUAGUGUGUGCCACGAGGUAGCUCUAAAGUAGCGACCUACUGGGGUAUCGCUCCGGUAGAUAUAGUCGGAGUAAGCUGCACAG